AUUGAACGCUGGCGGCAGGCCUAACACAUGCAAGUCGAACGAGUGGCGGACGGGUGAGUAAUGUCUGGGAAACUGCCUGAUGGAGGGGGAUAACUACUGGAAACGGUAGCUAAUACCGCAUCCCAUCAGAUGUGCCCAGAUGGGAGUAGCUAGUUGGUGGGGUAACGGCUCACCAAGGCGACGAGCCAUAGCUGGUCUGAGAGGAUGACCAGCCACACGGGAACUGGGACACGGUCCCAACUCCUACGGGAGGCAGCAGUGGUGAAUAUUGCACAAUGGGCGCAAGCCAGAUGCAGCCAUGCCGCGUGUAGGAAGAGGGCCUGCGGGUUGUAAAGGACUUUCAGCGGGGAGGCGUUACCCGCAGAAGAAGCACCGGCUAACUCCGUGCCAGCAGCCGCGGUAAUUC
rnacentral:rRNA from 1 species